AAUACAGACAUUGGGAAGGGAGACUGCUGUCACAGGUCUAUGGUUAUGUCAGUAACAAGAUUUUUAUUUUUUGUUUUCCUCGUUUGGAUUUGGCAGAAGGGCUCCUUGAUUCUGCUUGGCCAGAUCACACAGAUCUGCAGGUUUCCACCCUGAUUCUUUAGGUCCAAUGUAGAGAAGAAGUCAAAGCUGAUGCAAGAAAAGGGGGCAGAAGAGUGAAAUAGCAGAGACUUUUGGCAAGACACACUCAAUGAACACUGCAGUCUUCCUGGAAGCAAGUCCAGGUCCCACAGUCAGUGAGCGCCACACUGGCCACCUGGACUGGAGUGUUUUAGCCAUCAGGCUGAGCUCCAGAGGAUGGACAGCAAACAGGACAGCAUUGGCAGGAAUUUGAGAUGCAGCUUCCUGUGUCUGCAAAGGCACACGGGUGCAAUGGACACCAUAUCCGAAUAGCUAAGAAGGGGAAACAGCCUGAGGAUCGAAGGUCAG
rnacentral:lncRNA from 1 species